rnacentral:rRNA from 1 species
GAUGAACGCUGGCGGCGUGCUUAACACAUGCAAGUCGAACGAUGAAGCCGGAGCUUGCUCUGGUGAAUUAGUGGCGAACGGGUGAGUAACACGUGAGUAACCUGCCCUUGACUCUGGGAUAACUGCGGGAAACUGUAGCUAAUACCGGAUACGACCCUCGGAGGCAUCUCCUGGGGGUGGAAAGAAUUUCGGUCAAGGAUGGACUCGCGGCCUAUCAGCUAGUUGGUGAGGUAAAGGCUCACCAAGGCGACGACGGGUAGCCGGCCUGAGAGGGCGACCGGCCCCACUGGGGCUGGGACACGGACGAGACUCCUACGGGGGUCAGCAGUGGGGAAUAUUGCACACUGGGCGCAAGCCUGAUGCAGCAACGCCGCGUGAGGGAUGACGGCCUUCGGGUUGUAAACCUCUUUUAGCAGGGAAGAAGCGAAAGUGACGGUACCUGCAGAAAAAGCACCGGCUAACUACGUGCCAGCCGCCGCCGUAA